rnacentral:rRNA from 1 species
UACGUAGGUGGCAAGCGUUGUCCGAAUUUACUGGGCGUAAAGAGCGCGCAGGCGGUCGUUCAAGUCGCGUGUGAAAGCCCCCGGCUCAACUGGGGAGGGUCACGCGAUACUGAUCGACUGGAAGGCAGGAGAGGGUAGUGGAAUUCCCGGUGUAGUGGUGAAAUGCGUAGAUAUCGGGAGGAACACCAGUGGCGAAGGCGACUACCUGGCCUGUUCUUGACGCUGAGGCGCGAAAGCUAGGGGAGCAAACGGGG